GUUUUAGAGAGAGAAAGUGCGUGGCCUUGUGGGGGGUGGUGUGGUGGUGGCUAUGGCUUGGCUUCUUUUGGGUCGCAUUUACUUCAGGAAACAACAACCGCAACAAGACUGGCUCUUACUUUCUCGACUCUUGUGAGAGCAACAACUCUGAACAGAUUCACCAAAGUGAUGGUCCACACUCCACAGCAAAGAAGAAGAAGAAGAAGAAGAAUAAGAAGAAGAGAAGAAGUUGGUCUACAAGGGGAACUGAACCACCUUACAUAAAAGAUAAAAUGGGAGUCAAAAAAGUGUGGCUUGGUUUGUUCAAUAGCAAUUGGCACUUGGCUUGUGCUAGUUUCUAAUUCAUUGAAAAAGAAACCAAGGUUCCUUUUACUUAUAAUAAAACCAUUAUGGUACUAUUACAUGUCCUUUUCUUUGAUUUUUAGGACAAUAAAAAUACAAUGCAAGGGAUAAUGAAAAAGAUUCAAACACCUAGUUAAUUUAUGAAUGGACAUUCAAGUGAAAGGACCAUAUAUAUAAUAUAUAAUAUAUCUAUUUUCAUUUU